rnacentral:rRNA from 1 species
UUCGCAAUGCCCGAAAGGGUGACGAAGCGACGCCGCGUGAGCGAAGAAGGGCCUAGGGUUGUAAAGCUCUGUCGAGGGUUAUGAAAUAUAGAUGGGUUAAUACCCCAUUUAUUUGACAAAAGCCCAAAAGGAAGCCACGGCUAACUCUGUGCCAGCAGCCGCGGUAAUACAGAGGAGGCGAGCAUUGUUCGGUAUUAUUGGGCGUAAAGAGCACGUAGGUGGUUUUGUAAGUCAGGUGUGAAAGCCUUCUGUUCAAAGGAAGAACGGCAUCUGAAACUGCAGAUCUUGAGUGUGGGAGGGGAGAGUGGAACUUCUGGUGGAGCGGUGAAAUGCGUAGAUAUCAGAAGGAACGUCGGCGGCGAAAGCGACUCUCUGGCCUAUUACUGACACUGAGUGUGCGAAAGUUAGGGGAGCAAACGGGAUUAGAUACCCCGGUAGUCCUAACCGUAAACGAUGGGCACUAAGUAGAGGGGUUUU